UACGGGAGGCAGCAGUGGGGAAUAUUGGACAAUGGGGGCAACCCUGAUCCAGCCAUGCCGCGUGAGUGAAGAAGGCCUUCGGGUUGUAAAGCUCUUUCAGAUGCGAAGAUGAUGACGGUAACAUCAGAAGAAGCCCCG
rnacentral:rRNA from 1 species